UGGUGAUUAUUUAUUUGAAACGUUUUUCGAAAUUCCCAAAAAUUCCCCUCCUACUCCAUUUUCGUACAACCACUUUAAAUUUUGAAUGAGUUUUUUUAAACCUGACCAAUUACUCAAAUUGACCCCACUUUCAGCGUCUAUAGACUAGAUACCUCAUGUUUCACAACGAGUUCAUAUACAUAUAUACACGAUACUCGAUGCAUUGAUU